rnacentral:rRNA from 1 species
AUUGAACGCUGGCGGCAGGCCUAACACAUGCAAGUCGAGCGGAUGAAGGGAGCUUGCUCCUGUAUUCAGCGGCGGACGGGUGAGUAAUGCCUAGGAAUCUGCCUGGUAGUGGGGGAUAACGUCCGGAAACGGGCGCUAAUACCGCAUACGUCCUGAGGGAGAAAGUGUGGGAUCUUCGGACCUCACGCUAUCAGAUGAGCCUAGGUCGGAUUAGCUAGUUGGUGGGGUAAAGGCCUACCAAGGCGACGAUCCGUAACUGGUCUGAGAGGAUGAUCAGUCACACUGGAACUGAGAAACGGUCCAGACUCCUACGGGAGGCAGCAGUGGGGAAUAUUGGCCAAUGGGCGAAAGCCUGAUCCAGCCAUGCCGCGUGUGUGAAGAAGGUCUUCGGAUUGUAAAGCACUUUAGGUUGGGAGGAAGGGCAGUAAGUUAAUACCUUGCUGUUUUGACGUUACCAACAGAAUAAGCACCGGCUAACUUCGUG